rnacentral:tRNA from 1 species
GGACAGAUGGCCGAGUGGUCUAAGGCGCUGUCUUCAGGCGGCAGUCUUCGGGCGUGGGUUCGAAUCCCACUCUGUUCA